AAGAAUUGAGUCACUAUCUGCUCCGAGAGGCAGCUGAAGCUUGGCCAGUCCUCCAGUGCUCUCCGGAGAGGGCGCUGCCAGUCCCCAGCCAAACAGGCAGGAGGCAUGGAGGGGAGACAGCCUUGGGCACUGAAUGGGAACUAAGCAUCCUGAACUAGGUUAAAGAUGAGAAUAUGAGAAUGAUGGGAUUAAACCAUUUGAUCGACUAUAAAGGCUACACCCCAUCUCCACACAAUGUCUGUCUUCACUAGAGCCGUGUAUUUCAGAUGGUUAUCCUGAGCUGGCUACGACUGUGCAUCACAUACCCAAGAACUACAUGCAGACAUUUUAGGUCUGGGUCUAGAAGGGUACUGAAUAGCAGUGUCUGUGGUAUACAUCAUCUCACAUCAAACAAUAUACACUGGUUUCUGCAGAUGUUUUUAAAGAACCUCUUCCUCCAGAAGGAGCUUUGAUGUGGGACAGGAACUAAGCUGCCCUGAGCCAUCCAGCCUGUGGAUGUAAUGAGGCAAGCUGCUGCAAUGAGCCUCUCUCUGUUUGCUCAUCAGGGAAUCAGGAGUAUUGUGUAUUGUGUAUGGCCAAGACCACCAGAGCUCUAUCUGAGGUGCUCAGGUAGUGUCACAGAGUGGCAGCGAAAUGUCCAAGAUACUACAGAAAUUGCUGAGAAAUUAAAGUUGUGUGUGGUUGA